rnacentral:lncRNA from 1 species
AAAUUGUAGCCCUAGAGCAUGUUGCUACUGAGAUGCAGUUAGCUGAUAUUUUUACAAUGGCCUUGGAUGCAAAUCAAUUUGAAUUCCUGAGAGGGAAAUUAGGGAUUUGCAUUUAUGAAAAUUUGUAGCAAUUAAUAUGGAGUGGACAAAGUAAUCAAAUUAUUGUCUACUUUCUUAAAAUAAAGCGCCUCCUUUAUGGUAAAUCAU